GUGCAGCAGUCGAGAAUACUUUACAAUGUGCGAAAGCACGAUAAGGGAACUCUGAGUACCUCCUAAGAAGGCUGUUCAGGUGUCUAAAAGCACCUGAAGGAAGGGCUGGGUAAGACCGGUGCCAGCCGCCGCGGUAACACCGGCAGCCCAAGUGGUAGCCACGUUUAUUGGGUCUAAAGCGUCCGUAGCCGGCUGGGUAGGUUCCUUGGGAAAUUUGGCUGCUUAACAGUCAAGCUUUCAGGGAAUACUGCUCGGCUUGGGACCGGGAGAGGUCAGAGGUACUCCAGGGGUA
rnacentral:rRNA from 1 species